rnacentral:rRNA from 1 species
GUGCCUAACACAUGCAAGUCGAGGGAGAAAGCCCGCAAGGGUGAGUAAACCGGCGAACGGGUGCGUAACACGUGGAUAAUCUACCUUCCUGACCGGAAUAACUGGCCGAAAGGCUAACUAAUACCGGAUAAGACCACGGUGGCUUCGGCCGCUGAGGGAAAAGGUGGCCUCUGUAAACAAGCUAUCACAGGGAGAUGAGUCCGCGGCCCAUCAGCUAGUUGGCGGGGUAAAGGCCCACCAAGGCAACGACGGGUAGCUGGUCUGAGAGGAUGAUCAGCCACACUGGAACUGAGACACGGUCCAG